rnacentral:tRNA from 1 species
GUCUCCGUGGUCCAGUGGUUACGACGUUCGGCUGUUACGACAUACACAUGUAAAUGUGCAUGCAGACUACCGAGAUAUCGGCGGUUCGAUCCCGCCCGGGGACG